UGAAUUCCUGACUUAAAACAUUGAUAACGU
rnacentral:piRNA from 1 species